rnacentral:rRNA from 1 species
UACGGAGGGUGCGAGCGUUAUUCGGAAUCACUGGGCGUAAAGGGCGCGUAGGCGGCCUGGUAAGUCAGGGGUGAAAUCCCACGGCUCAACCGUGGAAUUGCCGUUGAAACUGCUGGGCUUGGAUCCUGGAGAGGGAGGCGGAAUUCCUGGUGUAGGAGUGGAAUCCGUAGAUAUCAGGAGGAACACCGGUGGCGAAGGCGGCCAGCUGGACAGGUAUCGACGCUGAGGCGCGACAGUGUGGGGAGCAAACAGG